UACGUAGGUGGCAAGCGUUGUCCGGAGUUAUUGGGCGUAAAGCGCGUGUAGGCGGCUCGGUAAGUCCGGUGUGAAACCUUGGGGCUCAACCCCAAGCCUGCACUGGAUACUGUCGAGCUCGAGUCCGGGAGGGGAGAGCGGAAUUCCUAGUGUAGCGGUGAAAUGCGCAGAUAUUAGGAAGAACACCGGUGGCGAAGGCGGCUCUCUGGAACGGUACUGACGCUGAGACGCGAAAGCGUGGGGAGCGAACAGG
rnacentral:rRNA from 1 species